UGGGCCACUGCCAGCCCAUAAACUGUUACCUGUCUAUGACAUGGUAAGUAUAGAAAUAAAGAAUAGGUAUUUAGAAAAGGCCUGGAGCGGUGGCUCAUGCCUGUAAUCCCAGCACUUUAGGAGGCCGAGGUGGGCAGAUCACGAGGUCAGGAGUUCGAGACCAGCCUGGCCAACAUGGUGAAACCCUGUCUCUAGCAAAAAUACAAAAAUUAGUUGGGUGUGAUGGCACACGCCUAUAAUCCCAGCUACUCAGGAGGCUGAGGCAGGAGA
rnacentral:lncRNA from 10 species